UGUUCCCUGGACUUUGGACUUCUCAGCCUCCCAAACUCAGAGAAAUCCCAUCAGUGCCGUGUCUACUGGAGCCUUGACAGCAGGAUUGCCAUGGAGACCUCAGAUUUGUGGAGACCCCAGAUUUGUGGAGCUACAGCCUGCAAGAGCUAAAACAUGGCCUCAGACUAGGAAAGCCAUAGAAGCAGAGCUGCCUGAGGACUUGGGGACCCAGUUCCCACACCCGUGUGCAGAGGGCGUUAAACAUGGCGUCAAGGUACAAACUAUCGCUGUCAAGAACAUCUGGUGACAAUCUAAUUUUCUUUUAUCACUCGUACCUGUGGAUCCUCACAAUUUAUGUUGUUUUGUCAAUUCUUUUAUCAUUUCAAGUGUCUUUUAACUAGUUUUGAAAUAUUAGGCUAUCCUUUCCUUCUGUUUUGUAAACAUGUCUGUCUGGUGUCCUUAUAUUUUCUAUAGAGAACUUGUAGUGGAUUGAAUAUAUCCCCUAAAACUCACUGAA